rnacentral:misc_RNA from 1 species
GAUGAAGAACGCAGCGAAAUGCGAUAAGUAAUGCGAAUUGCAGAAUCCGUGAGUCAUCGAAUCUUUGAACGCACAUUGCGCCCGCCAGUAUUCUGGCGGGCAUGCCUGUUCGAGCGUCAUUUCAACCAUCAAGCCCCAGGCUUGUGUUGGGGACCUGCGGCUGCCGCAGGCCCUGAAAACCAGUGGCGGGCUCGCUGUCACACCGGGCGUAGUAGAUUUUAUCUCGCUCAGGGCGUGCUGCGGGUUCCGGCCGUUAAAAAGCCUUUUUUACCCAAGGUUGACCUCGGAUCAGGUAGGAAGACCCGCUGAACUUAAGCAUAUCAAUAAGCGGAGGA